UACGUAGGGUGCGAGCGUUGUCCGGAAUUAUUGGGCGUAAAGAGCUCGUAGGCGGUGUGUCACGUCGGCCGUGAAAACCUGCAGCUUAACUGUGGGCGUGCGGUCGAUACGGGCGUCACUGGAGUUCGGCAGGGGAGACUGGAAUUCCUGGUGUAGCGGUGAAAUGCGCAGAUAUCAGGAGGAACACCGGUGGCGAAGGCGGGUCUCUGGGCCGAUACUGACGCUGAGGAGCGAAAGCGUGGGGAGCAAACAGG
rnacentral:rRNA from 1 species